rnacentral:tRNA from 1 species
UGCCGGGUCGUCUAAUGGUAGGACACUGGUUUCUGGCACCAGUAAUCUAGGUUCGAGCCCUAGCCCGGCAG